rnacentral:tRNA from 1 species
UCCCUGGUGGCUCAGAUGGUAAAGAAUCCUGACUGCAAUGCAGGAGACCCAGGUUCAAUCCUUGGUUUGGGAA